rnacentral:rRNA from 1 species
AGCAGCCGCGGUAAUUCCAGCUCCAAUAGCGUAUAUUAAAGUUGUUGCAGUUAAAAAGCUCGUAGUUGAAUUUCGGGAUCAAUACGUCGGUCGUGCUUCGGUACGUACUGGCGUCAUUGAUUUCUCCCUUCUGACGAACCAUGAUGUCAUUAACUUGGUGUCAUGGGAAAUCAGGACUGUUACUUUGAAAAAUUAGAGUGUUUAAAGCAGGCUCACGCUUGAAUACAUUAGCAUGGAAUAAUGAAAUAGGACGUUCGAACCUAUUUUGUUGGUUUCUAGGAUCAACGUAAUGAUUAAUAGGGAUAGUUGGGGGCAUUAGUAUUCAAUUGUCAGAGGUGAAAUUCUUGGAUUUAUUGAAGACUAACUACUGCGAAAGCAUUUGCCAAGGAUGUUUUCAUUAAUCAAGAACGAAGGUUAGGGGAUCGAAGACGAUCAGAUACCGUCGUAGUCUUAACCAUAAACUAUGCCGACUAGGGAUCGGAUGAUGUUAAUUUUUAAUGUACU